GGCACCAUGGCUUAGCUGGUUACAGUGCCUGUUUUGUAAACAGGAGAUCCUGGGUUCAACUCCUAAUGGUGCUU